UUGCCUGGCGACCAUAGAGACAUGGAACCACCUGAUCCCAUCCCGAACUCAGCAGUGAAACGUGUCCUCGCCGAUGGUAGUGUGGGGUUUCCCAUGUGAGAGUAGGUCAUCGCCAGGCUU
rnacentral:rRNA from 1 species